rnacentral:rRNA from 1 species
GACGUAGGGUGCAAGCGUUGUCCGGAUUUACUGGGCGUAAAGAGCGCGUAGGCGGUCUGUUAAGUGUGAAGUGAAAUCUCCAGGGCUCAACCCGGAAACUGCUUCGCAUACUGGCAGGCUGGAGGAACGGAGAGGUGAGUGGAAUUCCUGGUGUACCGGUGAAAUGCGUAGAUAUCUGGAGGAACACCGGUGGCGAAGGCGGCGUUCUGGACUGCAUCUGACACUGAGGAACGAAAGCCAGGGGAGCAAACGGG